AAUGAACGUUGGCGGCGUGGAUUAGGCAUGCAAGUCGUGCGGCAGCAGGCCCCGCAAGGGGUGCUGGCGAGCGGCGAAAGGGAUAGUAAUGUGUGGAUACCUGCCCUGGGGACGGGGAUAGCUGCUGGAAACGGCAAUUAAUACCCGAUGAUGUCUCCGGACCAAAGGUGUAAUUCCGCCCUAGGAGGGGUCCACAUCCUAUUAGCUAGUUGGUGAGGUAACGGCUCACCAAGGCCACGAUGGGUAGCGGGUGUGAGAGCACGACCCGCAUCACUUGGACUGAGACACUGCCCAGACACCUACGGGUGGCUGCAGUCGAGGAUCUUCGGCAAUGAGCGAAAGCUUGACCGAGCGACGCCGCGUGCGGGAUGAAGGCCUUCGGGUUGUAAACCGCUUUCGGAGGGGAGGAAAUCUAGGGGGGAUCACCCUUCUAGUUGACCUAUCCUAGGAAGAAGGACGGGCUAAGUUCGUGCCAGCCGCCGCUGUAAAAC
rnacentral:rRNA from 1 species